rnacentral:rRNA from 1 species
CAGAGGGUGCGAACGUUGCUCGGAAUUACUGGGCGUAAAGCGCGUGUAGGCGGGUCGGCAAGUCAGGCGUGAAAUCCCCAGGCUCAACCUGGGAACUGCGCUUGAAACUGCCGGUCUUGAGUAUCGGAGAGGGUGGCGGAAUUCCUGGUGUAGAGGUGAAAUUCGUAGAUAUCAGGAGGAACACCGGUGGCGAAGGCGGCCACCUGGACGAUUACUGACGCUGAGACGCGAAAGCGUGGGGAGCAAACAGGAUUAGAUACCCUGGUAGUCCACACCGUAAACGAUGGGUGCUAGGUGUCUCGGGUAUUGACCCCUGAGGUGCCGUAGCUAACGCGUUAAGCACCCCGCCUGGGAAGUACGGCCGCAAGGCUA